UACAGAGGGUGCGAGCGUUGUCCGGAAUCACUGGGCGUAAAGGGCGCGUAGGUGGUGGCUUAAGCGUGCGGUGAAAGCUCGGGGCUCAACCCCGAGUCGGCCGUGCGAACUGGGCUCACUGGAGCAUAGUAGAGGCAGGUGGAAUUCCGGGUGUAGCGGUGGAAUGCGUAGAUAUCAGGAGGAACACCUGUGGCGAAAGCGGCGCACUGGACCACAACUGACGCUGAGGCGCGAAAGCUAGGGGAGCAAACAGG
rnacentral:rRNA from 1 species